GAUGUUGGCCACAGAGCAUCAGCAGCUGACCCACAUGGUGGUAACCUUCAGUGGCUGUUUGGUAUGGCAGGGAGCAGCCUGGCUGGAUGUUUUUGUGCCUCUCUGAAGGCCACACAUAGGCAUGGUCCUGCCCUCCUCUAGCCCUGACCUCAGUUGCUCUGUAACUUUUAAGCCUUCCCUUGGAGCCGUCAGCACCCACUGCCUCUGCUCUA